GACGAACGCUGGCGGCGCGCUUAAUACAUGCAAGCCGAGCGAGAACCAGAGCUUCGGCCCUGGGGACAGCGGGGAACGGGUGAGUAACACGUGAGUAAUCUGCCCUCGGCACCGGGAUAGCCCGGGGAAACCCGGAUUAAUACCGGAUGGCCUCUCGAGCUUGCGGGCUCGUGAGAAAAGGUAGCUUCGGCCUCCGGCCGAGGAGGAGCUCGCGGGGGAUUAGCUUGUUGGUGGGGUAACGGCUCACCAAGGCGACGAUCCGUAGCUGGUCUGAGAGGACGAUCAGCCACACUGGGACUGAGACACGGCCCAGACUCCUACGGGAGGCAGCAGUAGGGAAUCUUGCGCAAUGGGCGAAAGCCUGACGCAGCGACGCCGCGUGCGGGAAGAAGGCCUUCGGGUUGUAAACCGCUUUCAGGAGGGACGAAGCCACUCGGGUUAAUAGCCCAGAGGGUGACGGUACCCCCAGAAGAAGCCCCGGCUAACUACGUGCCAGCCGCCGCCGUAAUAC
rnacentral:rRNA from 1 species